rnacentral:rRNA from 1 species
GACGAACGCUGGCGGCGUGCUUAACACAUGCAAGUCGAACGGUAAGGCCCUGCUGUUGUGGGGUGCUCGAGUGGCGAACGGGUGAGUAACACGUGAGUAACCUGCCCUUGACUUUGAGAUAACUGCAGGAAACUGGGGCUAAUACCGGAUAGGAGCUCCUGCUGCAUGGUGGGGGUUGGAAAGUUUCGGCGGUUGGGGAUGGACUGGGGGCUUAUCAGCUUGUUGGUGUGGUAGUGGCUUACCAAGGCUUUGACGGGUAGCCGGCCUGGUAGGGGGACCGGCCACAUUGGGAUGGGGAUACGGCCCAGCCCCCUCCGCGAGGGAGGAGUGGGGAAGAGUGCACUAGGGGCGGAAGGCUGAUGUAGCCCAGCCGCGUGCGGGAUGACGGCCUUCGGGUUGUAUACCGCUUUCGCCUGUGACGAAGCGUGAGUGACGGUAAUGGGUAAAGAAGCACCGGCUAACUCCGUG